rnacentral:rRNA from 1 species
CCCUUAGAUGUUCUGGGCCGCACGCGCGCUACACUGACUACUUCAACGAGUUGUUUCCUUGAUCGAAAGGUCUGGGUAAUCUUUGAAAGGUAGUCGUGAUGGGGAUAGAUCCUUGCAAUUUUUGAUCUUCAACGAGGAAUUCCUAGUAAACGCAAGUCAUCAGCUUGCAUUGAUUACGUCCCUGCCCUUUGUACACACCGCCCGUCGCACCUACCGAUUGAAUGGUCCGGUGAAUCUUUAGGACUGUGGCUGAGGCCUUGCCCUGUGCGGGUCUGGCCGUGGGAAUUUAGUUAAACCUUACCAUUUAGAGGAAGGUGAAGUCGUAACA